CAGAGGAGCUAAGGGAGGAGGGAAAAUUUUUCAGAAACAUGUUCAAAUUACUCGGCUCAAAUGCGUUGUUCCCUUCAAGCUAAGGCCAAAAACUUCACCGCAUCGGAAAUCGCCUCUGGUGGUGGUGGAGGUCCAAUCACCACCAAGUCAAUAUCAAAUUACUCGUCCAUCCUUAUUCUUUUACAAUCCACCAUAAAUUUCUUCAUAUCCCUACUGCAAUUCCCAAAUUGAACAAAAAACUUUAAAAAAAACCUAAAGCUUUAAAACCAAAAUUAAAUCACUAUGGAGGGGAAUCAAAGCAAGGGACUUUGUGGCUUUGAUUCCCCUCAGUGUCCUCUACAUGAUGGUAAAUAGAUUGAAGCCGAAAAGAAUAGGGUGCAAAGGAUCCCUACCUAUAACGUUGUGGUCUGCCUUGGUAGUUGUUGAAGAUGAAGAUGGAGAUGCUAAAGCAGAUAGAAGACCAGAGGAAGAAUCAGGUAUGCCCAUGAAUCAAGUGAUGACACAUAAAAAAGAAUCAUGAUAAGGAUUGAAGACCAAGAUGAAAUGGCUUGUGAAAGAAAUAGGUAAUUGACUUUGGUAAACUUACUGACCAAAAAGUCAACAAUUAACCAAAAGUCAAUUGUAGGUUAAUAACAUGUAAUUUUGUAUGCACUUUGAUUCUUGGCUUUGUAUAAUGAGCUUGGGUAUGAAAAGUGGCAUUUGAAAAUGAAUUGUAACUUUUGAAUGACAUAUCUAAUGAAAUGGUUCUUGUACUGAAUUGUGAUGCUUGUGUAACAAGUAACAUGAUUUUCCC